rnacentral:rRNA from 1 species
UACGUAGGGGGCAAGCGUUGUCCGGAAUCACUGGGCUUAAAGCGCGUGUAGGCGGGUCGUUAAGUGUCUUGUGAAAUCCCACGGCUCAACCGUGGAACUGCUGGGCAUACUGACGAUCUUGAGGCACUCAGGGGCUGUCGGAACAAAUGGUGGAGCGGUGAAAUGCGUAGAUAUCAUUUGGAACGCCAACGGUGAAAACAGACAGCUGGGGGUGUCCUGACGCUGAGACGCGAAAGCCAGGGGAGCGAACGGG